UGGGGAAUAUUGGACAAUGGGCGCAAGCCUGAUCCAGCCAUGCCGCGUGAGUGAUGAAGGCCCUAGGGUUGUAAAGCUCUUUCAACGGUGAAGAUAAUGACGGUAACCGUAGAAGAAGCCCCGGCUAACUUCGUGCCAGCAGCCGCGGUAAUACGAAGGGGGCUAGCGUUGUUCGGAAUAACUGGGCGUAAAGCGCACGUAGGCGGAUUGGAAAGUUAGAGGUGAAAUCCCAGGGCUCAACCCUGGAACUGCCUUUAAAACUAUCAGUCUAGAGUUCGAGAGAGGUGAGUGGAAUUCCGAGUGUAGAGGUGAAAUUCGUAGAUAUUCGGAGGAACACCAGUGGCGAAGGCGGCUCACUGGCUCGAUACUGACGCUGAGGUGCGAAAGUGUGGGGAGCAAACAGGAUUAGAUACCCCCGUAGUCC
rnacentral:rRNA from 1 species